rnacentral:rRNA from 1 species
UGGGGAAUUUUGGACAAUGGGCGAAAGCCUGAUCCAGCAAUGCCGCGUGUGUGAAGAAGGCCUUCGGGUUGUAAAGCACUUUUGUCCGGAAAGAAAUCCUUGGCUCUAAUACAGUCGGGGGAUGACGGUACCGGAAGAAUAAGCACCGGCUAACUACGUGCCAGCAGCCGCGGUAAUACGUAGGGUGCAAGCGUUAAUCGGAAUUACUGGGCGUAAAGCGUGCGCAGGCGGUUUGCUAAGACCGAUGUGAAAUCCCCGGGCUCAACCUGGGAACUGCAUUGGUGACUGGCAGGCUAGAGUAUGGCAGAGGGGGGUAGAAUUCCACGUGUAGCAGUGAAAUGCGUAGAGAUGUGGAGGAAUACCGAUGC